rnacentral:lncRNA from 1 species
CACGUAUAUGUAAAAGCUUAGUGCAUUAAGCUACAUUUUUAUUCAAUAAUCAUUUUUCUACGCAGGGAUCUUCUUCGGGAGUUGGGGAACACACAGAUGCACCAUGAGAAUAGGUUUCUAACAGGGGCGGAUCUAUGUGUAUGAGGGUGCCACGGCACCCGGUAACUCCGACUGAAAUUUUGUAUAUAUAUGUAUAUACACAGAAGAAAUGAGAUAUAGAUUAAGCUUGCCACCCUUAAGAUCAAGUAGUUAGAUAGCACCAGUGGCAGAGGGAGUUCCCAGCCACCUAGUUGAUCUGAGUUCAAAUCCCUCCUGGUGCAAGUUGUUGUAUUUUUUUUUUUAUGCUUUUCCUUGCUUAGGAAGGACUUCAACCCUCUUUCUUCACUCUUUCACUGUUUCGCCUUUUUCAUUGCUUUUUCUUUUUUAGUUCUAUUCUAUACUAAUUCGAACUGUUGCGUUAAUUAAUUCUUAAUUUUUUAACUUUCUCUUUUGUUAAUUACUAUUAAUCUCUUGUUACGAGUAUUAAGUGUAUCCCAUAUCAAUGAACAAA